UCAUGAGGAGCAGCAUUCCCGUGUGGAGCUCUGCAGUGCACGGUCCCUCAUGGCUGAUGGACAUUGCCCAACCACUGGUUUGGGGCUCUCACUUGCAGGAGUCAGCACUUUGUGGGGAGAGAAAUCCCUGGGAACACCCCAUUGUUGAAGUGCUGGAAUAAGCCAGGCUCGGAAAAACAGCAGAGAAGUUUCACACUUGAACAAAGCCCCCGAGCAGAUGUUGGAGAGGUGCUGGCCCCUUCCAGAUGGGGUUAAUAAAAGACUUCAUUAGGUUAAAAAACAGAGGAAACCGAAGUUAAGGACCUUCUCCUGCGUGCCGUGCUGUUCUCUCCUGCUCAAGGCCAUCCUUUUUCCCGGAGCCCAGGUUCCUGCUCCUCCUCAUUGUUCCCUCCCGGAGCUGCCGUGCCGGCUCUGACCUGCUGGUGUCACGGCUCCCGGAGCUGCUUGUCACCAUGGAGUUGGCUCUGCAAGGCAGCAAUGGCAUUUCAAUCACCCAAACCAGGCUCAGCACUGCCUUCCCACCUGGCACUGCCCGGCACUGGCAGCAGGAUGAUCCCAAAUGGAUGCAGGGAUGAGGGGCUUCGUCCCUCGCUUUGCUUUUUCCCCCUGAACAUCUCCCACGGUGAAUGGGGAAGGGAGUGGAGCUGGGGGAGCUGAGGAUGGAAGGAGACACGGAUGCCUGUCUGGUGUGGGGCUUGCUCCAGGUCUAACCCCUCUCUGUCAGCCUUGAUCCAGGGGGAAGCUGGUGACUCCAUGCUGCUGAGCCCCUCUUCCAUCUCUGGGAAAGGAAUUUCUGCCCAUGGGAGGAUACAGGGGGAAAAAAUAAUUGCUUGAGGAACAGUCACGGCCUUCUCUCAGCAAGGUCCUACCUACGAGCUGCCUCAGAGCUGCGCUCCCAGCGACGCCUCUGUCAAAGGCCAAUCCUUUGGAAGAGAGAUUUGAAGGAAAAGGUUAUCUGGGAGAUGUGCCUGCCUGGCUGUUAUUUAGUGCUUCACACCAGGCACUGCACUCCUCAUUUUCCACCUUCUCUAACGAGGAAAGGUCUGUGACCACCGCGGGCUCAUCAGGAUACAAGAGCAGGUUUUUACUUUGGGGCCAACAAAGACGAGGAGGAAACCAGGAUAAUGGAAAUGGUGUUUGUGCCUGCAGGGAUAAACAGGAAUUUUCUUAACCAGAUUGGAACCUCCAGCAGGUAACUUGCCCUCUGCUCCCCCUGCGAGAAAGUUGUUUUAUUAGCAGAUAGUUCCAUGUUGAGGCUGCCACGGGAGUGUUGCAGUAAUGGAGUUGACAUCUAUAUAAUGGAGUUGACAUUUUAUUCAAAAGGGAAAAGAAAAAGCUUUAACAAACAGAGGUGCCCCCCUCCCCCUUCCUUUCUUCCCGUGUUUUGCUGCCAUCGAUCACAUCAAGCCACACAAACUUUGAGCGGCCGCCCGUGCUGGCAAUUUAAUAAAAUUCCAUACAGCUCUGGGUGCUUCAGGGACAGGGUGGGGGAAAUCAGCCCGCUGGGAACUUGAACUUGGCUGAGAAAUCAAGGCAAGGGCUUUGUUCAGCAGGAAAGCACCACAAUUCCAGUUUGGUUCUUGGCAGCACGCUCGUGUUAACGUCGUGUGCUGGUCCCUGCGUGUGCUGGAUGCUUUUGGGAGAGGGAGAGCAGGGAUUCCUGGGGAACAGGGAUUCCUGGGGAACAGGGACUCCUGGGGAACAGAAAUCCUGUCAUCUCCUGUCUAAACUGCCUGAGGGAUGGGCUGCUGCUGCAGGUUCUGCGAUGGUCUGUGUUGGAAAGGAAAUCUCUCCCAUGUUCUACAGGUUUAGGACAGCUGGGACAAACAGGCCCAGCUGGGCCCAUGGAGGUGAGAGAAUGAAUUCCAGAAAAAAGCACCACUAAAGCACUCUCAGUGUAUGACAUUCCUGCAGCCAUUCCUUCCUGUGGGGAGUGAGCCAUCUGGGAUUUGUAUCCCUGGUUUGGGUGAGCAGGGAAUGACCCACAGCUGUCCCCUCUGGUUGUCCCUUGUUCUGGGUGUAGCAGAAGGAUCACUGAGGGAAAACAUGAGCUCCCAGCCCCCAAAAUGCUUCGGGAAAGUAGAGUAUUUUUAAUUAACUCAAGUUAAAAGUCCCUUGGGGGCAUCUUUCCCCUGGUGUGUGAUUUAAGUCACACAUCUCCUUUUCCCCCCUCCAACAACCCGGUUGCUGCAGCCCGUUGACAUUUGUGUUUCUGAUGUAAUAAUCAGAUGCUAAAACACUGAGAUUACAUUUGGAUCAACACAUUUGGUUCUUAAACCCCGAAAGUAAUUAUCUUUUCUCAUCUACAACGGAUGGAAAUAUUAUUCCAUUAACCAUUAAGCAGCUCUGAGCCGGGGCUGGUGUCACUGUCGCGAGGCCUACGGGGAUUUUAACCUCAGCUUUUCCCCAUGGCCAGAAACUUUUUGUGGAGCUGUGGGUGAGAUUUCACGGGUGGGAACUGCCUCAAGCAGAAUGAAGGUUCUCAAAACCUGGCCUUGAGCAUUCCCAGGGAUGGGAAUGCUGCUAAAAUCAUGGUUAAUUUCCUUUGGUUUUGUCUGCCAAACAUCUUGUUGGAGCCCAAGUUCGUGAGUGCUCUCCGUGCACCCAGCUCUCCACUUGGUUCCCUGCAGAACAGGGAUGCACCCAGGGCCCCUCAGGCACCCUUUGGAAGGGAUUCCCGGGGAGGAAAUUGAUAAGGAAGUCAAUAACACCACGUGUUUGAAGUGGGACUUCAGCUCAGGGCUGGGAACACUUGAGGAAGCUCUGGCCACAAUUAAGCACUUAAUCAGGAGAGAGCGGCAAUUUCCCCAGCGCAGGAACCACCGAGCGCACAUCCAGACAUGGGAGGGAAAAGUGUCUCUGUGGUAAUUAAUAUCCCUCCUGAUGGAGCCUGGGAUGGCCUCGUGGAGUGACUUUUGUGGCACAGCGGGUGCCAGGGAUUUUCAGAAGCAUGAACCCUGGUGCCUCAGAUGCUGCUCGAGGGGUAAAACUGCUCCUCCCGUGCCACUGCUGCUCAGUGGGUCCUCUCCUGCUGGCUCUGCUUUCCCUCCCUUGGAAUAACAGCUGAAUUGUCUCUUCUUCCUCCCUAGGUGCUGGCUGGAGACUCCAGGCAAGCAUUCCAAGGAUAACAGGUUUCCCAGGCAGUUUUCUGGGUGCAGAGCUGCCUGAGGAAGGUGCUGGUCCCUCAGGAGGAUGCACUGAGUGCCUGCCCUGCUGCUUUCUGUUGUUUUUGGGGUUGUUCCUCCCCUGUGUCUCACCCAGCAGGUGGGGCUGGGCUGGGCUUGGCUGGGCUGAUGAUCUCCCUGCUCCCAUUUUUCCAUGCCAGGGAGCUGCUCCGUGCCCAAGCUGUGGCAAACUCAGCUGCAGGUGUGAGUUCUCUGCUCUCACCCUCCUCCCCAGUCCCAAAGUUUUCAGGGCAGAUCUGGGAAGCACUCAAUGCUCUCUCCACUCAUUCCACACUCGAUUACAGAUAAUGCUGUCGAGUGUGGUUUGUUGUUGAUAUUUUCUGGUUUGUUGCUUCUGUGGCUUCUCAGAACUUCUUGUUCCAUCUCCAAACAGCGAUGAACACGGAGCCUGCCGCCGCCAGCGUGGCUUCUCCUUGGAGCACCUGAUUCAAAGCCUCCUGAAGUCACUGGGAGCUUUUCCAGUGGAUCUCAAGUCAAGAAUCUUCGAGGCUGGUGCUGGCUUUGAUGGGCUUCGAGUGUGGCACACGAGGCACAAUGGGCUCCUUGUUCCUCUCCAGCUCCCCGGGAGCUGUGCUGAGCCACGCUGAAAUCAUCCCAAAUAAAUGCAGAUUAAACCCUU